rnacentral:rRNA from 1 species
GAUGAACGCUGGCGGCGUGCUUAACACAUGCAAGUCGAACGGAAAGACUCUGCUUUUGUGGGGUGCUCGAGUGGGGAUCGCGUGAGUAACACGUGAGUAACCUGUCCCUUACUUUGGGAUAACUCCAGGAAACUGCGGCUAAUACCGGAUAGGAGCUCGUGCUGCACGGUGGGCGUUGGAACGCUGCGGCGGUUGGGGAUGGACUCGCGGCUUACCAGCUUGUUGGUGGAGUAGUGGCUUACCAAGGCUUUGACGGGUAGCCGGCCUGAGAGGGUGACCGACCACAAUGAGACUGAGAUACGGAGCAGACUCCUACGGGACGCAGCGGUGGAGAAUCUUGCGCAGUGGGCGGGAGUCUGAUGCAGAAGCCCCCCGUGCGGAAUGACGGCCUACGGGUUAUAAACCGCUUUCACCUGUGACGCAGCGUGAGUGACGGUAAUGAGUAAAGAAGCACCGGCUAACUACGUG